rnacentral:rRNA from 1 species
UGGGGAAUAUUGGACAAUGGGCGAAAGCCUGAUCCAGCAACGCCGCGUGAGGGAUGACGGCCUUCGGGUUGUAAACCUCUUUCAGCGGGGACGAAGCGAAAGUGACGGUACCCGCAGAAGAAGGACCGGCCAACUACGUGCCAGCAGCCGCGGUAAUACGUAGGGUCCGAGCGUUGUCCGGAAUUAUUGGGCGUAAAGGGCUCGUAGGCGGUUUGUCGCGUCGGGAGUGAAAACUCAGGGCUCAACCCUGAGCGUGCUUCUGAUACGGGCAGACUAGAGGUAUGCAGGGGAGAACGGAAUUCCUGGUGUAGCGGUGGAAUGCGCAGAUAUCAGGAGGAACACCGGUGGCGAAGGCGGUUCUCUGGGCAUUACCUGACGCUGAGGAGCGAAAGCAUGGGGAGCGAACAGGAUUAGAUACCCUGGUAGUCCAUGCCGUAAACGUUGGGCGCUAGGUGUGGGGACCUUCCACGGUCUCCGUGCCGCAGCUAACGCAUUAAGCGCCCCGCCUGGGGAGUACGGCCGCAAGGCUAAAACUCAAAGGAAUUGACGGGGGCCCGCACAAGCGGCGGAGCAUGCUGAUUAAUUCGAUGCAACGCGAAGAACCUUACCUGGAUUUGACAUAUACCGGAAAGCUGCA